ACUAUUCUAAACGGCGGAGAUUCCACCGGUAUAUCGUUUCGCAAACACACAGCA
rnacentral:sRNA from 1 species